rnacentral:rRNA from 1 species
ACGAACGCUGGCGGCGUGCUUAACACAUGCAAGUCGAACGGAAAGGCCCUGCUUUUGUGGGGUGCUCGAGUGGCGAACGGGUGAGUAACACGUGAGUAACCUGCCCUUGACUUUGGGAUAACUUCAGGAAACUGGGGCUAAUACCGGAUAGGAGCUCCUGCUGCAUGGUGGGGGUUGGAAAGUUUCGGCGGUUGGGGAUGGACUCGCGGCUUAUCAGCUUGUUGGUGGGGUAGUGGCUUACCAAGGCUUUGACGGGUAGCCGGCCUGAGAGGGUGACUGGCCACAUUGGGACUGAGAUACGGCCCAGACUCCUACGGGAGGCAGCAGUGGGGAAUAUUGCACAAUGGGCGGAAGCCUGAUGCAGCAACGCCGCGUGCGGGAUGACGGCCUUCGGGUUGUAAACCGCUUUCGCCUGUGACGAAGCGUGAGUGACGGUAAUGGGUAAAGAAGCACCGGCUAACUACGUG